rnacentral:rRNA from 1 species
UACAGAGGUCCCAAGCGUUGUUCGGAUUCACUGGGCGUAAAGGGUGCGUAGGUGGUUGGGCAAGUCUGAUGUGAAAUCUCCGGGCUUAACCCGGAAAUGGCAUUGGAAACUGCCCGGCUAGAGUGUUGGAGGGGGGAUUGGAAUUCUCGGUGUAGCAGUGAAAUGCGUAGAUAUCGAGAGGAACACCAGUGGCGAAGGCGAGUCCCUGGACAACUACUGACACUGAGGCACGAAAGCUAGGGGAGCAAACAGG